rnacentral:sRNA from 1 species
AUCAUUUUGUAACGUCAGUUUAGUUGUAGUGUGGGUCUGUUGUUAUAUAUAUUUGAGCGAAAUACACAAAUGUAAUCGUUUGGAAAUUUAUGUGAUGAUUUGAAUUGUAGCAAUAGCAUUGUUUUUAAUAAAAUAGACAAUAAGUCAG